UUUUGAAUCUGGAUUCUUCAUGUAGAAAAGCUAAACCUCUGGCUAUCCCAAGGCAGAUCUUCUGCCUCACUGACCAGUUCAAUUUCAGUUGACUGAUUUCACCACCUUAACAUAACCAUUCCAAGAAAUAUUACUAGGGCGAAUAAUAGAUUGUUAUAAACUUGUAAAGUGUUUCUAAGUUACUAUUUUAUUUUCCUCUCAUAUAAUCAAUCAAGAAAUCAUCAAUAGAUUACACUUACCGAAUAAAGCAUGGGCAAGGCUGUUGUUUUCCAAGUAUUCAUAUACCAGCAUGAGUUGAUCCCCUUCAAUACAACAGCCAUAAAGUUUCACAAGAUUUGGGUGUUGCAAGCACGAAAUAGUGCCUAUCUCAUUCAAGAAUUCACGAUUUCCUUGUCUUGAUUUUGAAGACAGCAGCUUCACGGCAAUUAUAGUACCAUCAGUUAACUGACCCUGCAUGUAUGUAUGUAUCAAGAAGAACCAUUAAAGAAGUCCUGUAUACCAAAGAAUAAUCACAAUGAACAAAGGUUUGAGUAUAUACCUUGUAAACAGGUCCAAAUCCACCUUCACCAAUCUUGUUCAUGGGAUCAAAAUUGCUAGUGGCAGCUCUUAUUUGCUUUAAGGUAAAAGAACUGGCUUGGAAUUCUAGUCCUUCAAGAUCUGUUCGAAUGAAAGAGAAGUACAGUUUUAAAAAGUUGCCUGAUUUUUAGUGUAUACGCUUUGUAAAAGAACCAUAGACCAGCUGAAAAAACAUUUUCAAUGGAUAAAUAUCCUCCAGCCACAAGGUUUUGUUAUGAUUGUUUUAGUUUCAGUUCUCUCUUCCCGAAGCAGUUACUUAUCUAUUUGAAAGAUUCCAAACCUUCUUGUCUUCCGCUCUUGGUUCUAAAAUAGUGCCUCCAACAGAAGAUACCCAACACCAAGAUAACGAGACAUGAUCCUAUAAUAACGCCGGCAACAAUUGGUGCAAUCUUCUUUUUUCCUGCUCCAUAAAGGGGUUUGAAGUCUGCCAGAAAGCAUAAGCCAAGAAAUUAUGAUAAUCAGAAACAUAUACACAAACAUAGGAAGAAAGAAUGACUGUGAGUAUUCAAGACUAUAUCGAUUAGUUGGAUGUUUGCUUUAAAUUUUCAAAUGGUUUUCUACCAUAGGUGCUGUGGCUUACAGUUCUUAGAUUUCACACUACUGGAGCACUUGAACUUUUAUUCUCAAAAUGAUUGUACAACAUGUCACAUUGUUAGCCCGACAUGGAACAUGGAAGAAGAGGAAAAGAAAAUCACUCACUGGGAUCCACAGAAAUAGCUGAUAUAAGAGGCCCAUAAACUCCACCACUAGGAAUUGCAGUAGUGCCUUUGCCAGCCCAUUGGAAGCGAAUCUCUAAAAUGUGAUUGGAAACAUUGGCAGUGAAUGGUCUCGUGACUGGCUUAAGAACUCCAUGAGCUUCAGCUUCAAUGUUAAAAUCCUUCUCAACUAAUUUGUCCUGCAACAUAGCAAACCAACAAAAUUUGUAUUUGUUAUCCUGAAAGAAACAAACUCCAUAUGACCAAGUGACCAAGAAAAUGGGCUCUCAAGAAUAGCUUUAAACAUAUCACACAACUAGAGACAUCUCACAAGAUGGUACAUUUUGAAUGGAACACAUCUGGCACAAAAUUAUAAUAUACAAGCCCACAACCCAUCAUCUGAUUCUCAGGCAUCACAGCCUGAGUUGACUUUGAUGAAAAUAUAUUUCUUGAUUGUCAUAAAGUACCUGGAUAUAAAUAUCAAAUAUGCGCCUGCCAAGGGUUUUAUAUGUUUUGUCAUUUGUGAAUUGGAUCUCCGCAAAGUGUAGAACCACUGAAUAAUUCCCAUUUUCUAAACAAUAUCCAAUAUAAGUAAGCGAAAGAGGAGAAAUACGUGCAUCAAUGUACAAUUCAGAAAUCCCUGAUGACUGUGAAUUUGCAAUAUAAUUAGUAUUUUGCUCAUCAUCAUCAUCUGUGAAAUCUCCUGUGCUACUGAUUCCCCAGUUAGUACUAUCCAGUAAAUGGUAUGUUGCAGCACCACCACCAACUCCUGCAUCUCCUUCGAAUGUGCUGUCAUUUACUUUUACAUUACCUCCACCACAAUUAAUGUGCAAAGAGUGCCAAUCUGUGAAGAGAAAACAAUGUGAACUACUAAAGCAGCAAAGACAUUUUCACAUACUGUUAAUCCAUUUGAAAACAUUAAAAGGAAAACAAGCUCAUAUGGUCAGUUUUUUAUUUUUUUUAUUUAUUUUGUUGGGGGUUGGGGAACUUGUGAGUGAUCGGCAAACGUAAUUGUAUGAUCAUCAAUUCUAGGGAUCAACUAGAUUACUUCACCUUGCCUUUAAGUACUUCAGAUAAAGCACUUACGUACGUGAUAACAAGACUUGUGAUUGAAUUAGUAAAGAACAUGACAAAGAAUUGUGAUUCCAGGAGUCAAUAAAUGUGAAGAGAAUAUCGAAGAAAUUCUAAUACAAAGAGAAUUCUAACAACAUCAAAUCCGAAUGAUACUUACAUCGAUGACAUGUGAAAUUGUUUGUACAUGGAAAAACUCCACUUCUGGUUUUAGUCAAGAAAAAAUGUAAACAAAACAGAUUAGCUCCAUAUCGUUGCCAAGUGAAGUCAACAACAGUAGAGUUAGAAAUGGCUGUCAUGAGAAGAUUUCUUGCUUUCAUUGAAACGCAAAUGGCACCAUCAAAAAAGAAAUGAAGAUUUAAUGAUAGAAUGACCAGGUAUAUGCGCAAAAUUCUUCAUGUUGAGGUAAUUACUUCUGUAACUUUUUUUUUUUUUUUGCAAGGAAUUACCACUGUAACUUAAGCUGGUAUAAUAGGAAAGAAAAAGGGAACUUACAAGUUAUUUUCCACUGAAGAACUCCGGAACAAGUUCAGAUUUAGAUUCCUAGUGAAAAAUGAUACAUCUAUCAGGACUUAGAUCCAUCACAGGAUAUACAUGGAGGUAAACAGAAUCAGAUAAUUAUUCACUUAAGAGAAAUAUACUGACGGUUUCUCACGGCAAGCAGGCUGCUCAGGACUCUGCCAAGUGAAAUUAUUGUAAGAAAGGUCCCUGCAUGCAAGAAAGAAACAACGAUCUUUUCAGUGUAGAUGGAAAUUUAAUUUAAAAUGAUGAAGCAAUUGAAAGAUACAAGAGAUUGUCUUUGUGUUUGACACAACCCCCUCACUGCUAUCCUCAUCAAAUGAAAAAGCUAAACCUCAAAAUUGAUUUGUUUCUAAUAUGUGCUAGUAGUGAUGUGUGAUGUGCUCCACUAAGCCUAACAUAAUGGCUUGUUCAUAUGCCUCCAGGAAACUCAUUUUCAACAAUAGUAAAUUAACAGAUUAACAAAUUUAUAGAGCUUAACGAUGGAUAACAAAUGCACGUUACAAGGAUUGAUGCUCAUAAACUCCUCUGAUAAACAUAAGAAUCGAAAAUCCAAGAGAUAAGGUACACACACAUUAGUUCCUUUCUUCAGGAUUGACUCCGGUACAUCCCCUUGGAUAGAAUUGCCGGUAAGAAAGCUGAUAAAGGCCAGAUCAAGCAGUUAGUAUCUGGACAUUUGAAAAUUAGAAUAGUAAAAUUAAAACUUUUGUUUAAGUAACUUGCAUGAAUUUCAAAUCGGCUGGGACUGCAACAUCGGGAAGUUCCCCAGUUAGCUGGUUAAAGCUGAGAUCCCUAUAAAAGCCAAAAAAAAAAAAAAAAAGAGCGAGAAUAAAAAUUUAUACGUGUGCUAAUUAGAGACCCUAACUACAUAUGAUGAUCUGCACAAUAGAACAUAGGUAAUCGAAAAGUAAGUAAGUAACAUACUUACAGAAACCGAAGAUUUUUUAUUCCCCAUAUAUAUUCAGGUAUCUCUCCAGCUAUAUUACAGUUCCUCAAAAUUCUGGAAAUCCAUCAACAAUCAAAUCAGAUGAAGCAAUUUUGAGGUGAAUAAACUCCAUUAAUGUGAUAAAAAUGAAGAGUCAUACAUCCGUGUAAGGCCUGUCAUGUUUCUAAGCAUCGGAAAAGUCUGAUUCGGUCCUUGCAAGUCACUAAUCCUCCUGUUCAUAUAAGUAUCGUCAUUAACAGAUCUUUUCAGCAAUAUUCAAUAUGCUAAACUAUUAUGACAAUGAAAGUAUUAAAUCAUUUGAAUUAUUGUAAAAGAAUACUUAUUAAAUUUUCACUGACAAUUGAUUUAGCUUAUCCAAAGCAGAGAUUGAUGGCGGAAUGGGUCCUUCAAGUCCACUACCUUGAAUUUCUCUGCAUUAAGUUAAGUAAAGCAAUCAAUAAUAUUUCAAGGGCCUGACAGUAACUUGAACAAUUUUUGGCAUGUCGAAGAGCCUACAGUCUGUUGAGUUGCGUCCAGCUUUGUAUAAAAUCUGGCGCACUCCCAUUGAAGUUGUUGUCAUUAAUCCUACUGCAUUGUCCAACAAGAACAAGAAUGAAUUAUGGCUUACACUUUCUGCCAAAUUUUAGAAUAUCCUCAGAAUAAACUUUUGAAAAGCUUACAAGUCCGUUAAAUUUUUCAGCUUCACAAGUUCCAUUGGUAAAUUUCCAAUCAAUCUAUUGGAUGAUAGUCUCCUGCAAUAAAAUGUAGAUUAUCCUCCGAUGAAUAUGCUGAUAACGGACAAAAACUGAACGUAAAGAAACCCCAUAAAUGCCUUACAAGGUUUCCAAGUUAACUAAAUUCCCAAGCUCUUGAGGUAUUGUUCCUGAAAAUUGGUUUUCUUCAAGGUCCCUGGUAAACAGAUCCAUUGAGAUUUCUAAUAAUCGUAGAACAUAUUGGUAUAAAAACUUAAAGGACUCUUACCUGCAAAUUUGCACAUACACAUGAACAAAGAAAAUAUUCUGAGGAAUAAUUAAGCAUAAGACUUCUAGUUUAUCUCCUUGAAGAAACAAGAAUUUUAACAAGAAUUUUGUUCUCUCGGUCAAAGAAAUAAAAAAUAAUUGGAAAAUUCAUGAAAUUUAAAAUAAUGAAAAACUAUAAUCAGUUCAUUUCUGCAAGUCCAUCAACUGGAUAUUGUAGUCAUGAUGAGUUUUCGAAGCUUACAAGUAUGUGAGACUAGUAAUGUUCCCCAAAUGGCUUGGAAUAUUGCCUGACAAUCGGUUUGCAAAAACAGAUCUGCAUGGACAAUUCCAAUAUGGUUAAUUCAGUGAGACAAACAAAAUUUUAUUUGCUCGACUGAUAGAAAGAUGCAGAUAUAGCUUACAUAUACUUCAGUUGCAUCGAGGCCCAUUCACGUGGUAUCGAACCAUGCAGAUAGUUGUAAGCAAAAUCACUGCAUUCCACAACAAUAUCAAUCAAAUUUACAAAUUGGUCUGUAAAAGAAAGAAGGAAACGAAGAUAUUCAUAAUGCAGUAGACUAAUAGGGGUGCAUUUAGUUACAUUUUUGGCAUGGGUCUAUUUUUUGGUUGCAUUAGUCUAAAAAUAAACAAAAAUGCAAAAUUCCUUCUGAGGAAGCACUUGUAGAUGAUUUCUAGAAAAUGCUUUGAGGGUCAAAAAUGUACUGGAAAUGCUUUAUGGAGAAGCAUCAGUAAGUGCUUUUAAAGUUCUUUCACAAGCAUUCACAGAAACCCUCUCAACAAAAUUGGGCAUCAAUCCCAAAUGCAUAAAAAAUUAGCGAACAAUAAAAUUACCAUAUAUAUGCAUUGAUGAAAGUUGUGUACAAUCUUACACAGUUUCGAGGUAAGGAAGAUUGACAAUUUGAGGUGGAAGAGUUCCUGGAAGGCUGAAAAGCAUGAAUUUCCUGAAAAAGUAAAGCAAACCCAGAUUAUUUUAUGGGAAAAGAAAUUUCCUUUUCGCAAAAAAAGCACUUUUCACACUCCAUUAAUGGGCAAUAGCAAUGUUCAGACUUUUUUUUACUAUAUUAAAAAUUGACACAGCGUGACCAAGAUUCCUCUUUGAAAGAAUGCUACAAAAACUUGUGAUUUGCAGAAGAUAUCUUUAGAAUAAAUUCUGGAAUUAACUUUCAAGGAAGAACAUGUUCACGAGAGAAUCAAGGCAACUAACUUACAUGGCAAUAAUGUGGCAGGUUUCAUUCUGAAAUUGGCAGUUGCAAGUGAUGUUUCUCAAAGGAUCUGUUAAUAAAAUCUGCUUUAUAGUGAUGUGAUCUUCACAAGCAUCAGAACCAAAAGUCCAGUUAGUGGCUCCCAUUGUUUGAGCUAUCUGAUUGAGAACAUCAACUGCAUUUCAUCAUCAUCAUCAGAAAAUUUAAAAGUUAAAAAAAAACUGUUAAUAAUGCUUUUAAAAGAAUAUUUGAGAUUCUGGGUUUUUACUAUCUUGAUAAAGUAAUUAUUCAGAGAUAGGAUCAAACCAACUGCCAACACAAUCAAAACCUACUAAUCGAAGUAGAUCCUACUUGUUAAAAAUGAAAAUCUGUACUAAAAUCGCAAAAAAUUGAGGUUACCUUCAUCUCGAGGCAGUUUAACAGCAGCAAAAAUUUGAGCCCAAAAGCAACUCAUAACCAGCACAAGAAGUAGAAAACGUUUGAAGAAGAAGAACAUUUUCGCAAAACCCAAAAUAGGAAUCUGUAUUCAAGUUUGUACACAAAAUAUGCCUUCAGCAGAGCAGCUCUCUUUUUGCCUCUAGCGGCCAACGUCAUCCAAUUGUUCUAUUUUACUUUAUCCUUACUUUUUGUUUUACACAGUAGAAAAGGUUAAAAUACAUUGCAGCUCCAUAAAUAAAAUAUGCUGUAUGCACGCACAUCCAAUUUUUCUUUAGUCAAAAUGUUGAAAAGUGAAGAUUAAACAUAUCUUGUAACAGAAUUUUUUUUUAUUUUGCAGUGAAUGCCUUUUAUCUUUUAAUAGUGAUGUGCUAUUUUUUAACUAAUUUUUAUACAUUCAUCGCCGCUGUUUUUCCAAAGCAGGACGGAUGCGAGCGGCUAGACAUGGCAGUCAGCUAGGGCCAAUCAGAUUGGAAAUGGUUGCGUGCGCCUCUAAAAUUAUUGAGGAAGCCAGCAAUCAUCAAAUUUGUUCUUUUCACACUUGUUUUGUGGACUCCAAAUGUAUAGUUAGUUUGUAAUCUUACAGUCACCAAUGUAACAAAAUGCACAAUAAUAUACAUGUGUAUAUACACACAUAUUUUCAAAAAAUGAAAAAGGAACUGCGGAAUUGACAACACCAAAAAUGACGUAUGUUUCUAGGAACUCGAUGAAUUAUGGUUGUAAAGAUCAUAGGCGGUUCAUGAGGGCAUAGUCGUCGAAAGCUGUACCUCUGAAUUCAUUCCGUGGAUCAGCUUAUAACCGUCUCUAAUGACUUUAUACUUCUUAUAUGACUCCUCAUUAAUUUCGUAGAGAUCUUGGGCAGCAGAAGUAGAGGAAGAGGCCUGAUAGAACUCAGCUGAUAUUGAAUGCUGGGACUGAGUUGCUGUCGAAUUCUGACUACGCCUCAGCCCCUUUUGGUCUCUCAAGGCUUUGAACCUCAAAUCUUGACUAUAACUUCCAGCUUCUGGUAUCAUAUCUGGUAUGGCAGUUUUUCCUUCCAGCAUGUUUACCACUUCCGACAUUGUUGGCCUUAGUGAUGGCGAAGCAUUUGUGCACAAAAGAGAUACUUUGAUCAUCCUUUCUACUUCUUCCUUGUUGUAUUUUGAUCCUAGCCUUUCAUCCACUAGCUCCACUAACUUUCCAUCUAGCUGAAGAUGACAGGCCUACCCAAACCAAAACAUAGCAUUAGAGAAGACACAACAACCACAGAAAUGAAAAUGCAGAAGGUGAAUUAUAUGAGUUAGUUGCUGACCCAAUCGAGAAGACAAGUGCAGUCGAACUCCAGAGCUGAAGCAUAACUCAUAUUAUUUUUCCCACUAACAAUUUCCAAGGCCACGAUCCCAAAACUGUAAACAUCUGCUUUGUAGGUCAAAUAGCCCCAGAGUGCAUAUUCUGGUGCCAUGUAUCCUCUGAAGUCAAAAUUAUCAAUUUUGUAUUACACUGAAACAAUAACAAAAUUAUCAGUUUUAAAUGAGAGACAUGAAAUGAGGCUUACAUGGUUCCAGCAAUGCGAGUGCUGAUGUGGGUUUUAUCCUCCUCAUCAAGCUUAGCUAGUCCAAAAUCUGAUAUUUUGGGGUUUAAAUCCCUAUCUAGCAGAACAUUUGUAGCUUUGAUGUCUCUGUGAACAAUUUUGAAUCUUGAUUCUUCAUGAAGAAAAGCUAACCCCCUGGCUAUGCCAAGACAGAUCUUCUGCCUGGUCGGCCAGUCCAAUUCCAGUUCACAGUUUUCACGACCUUAAAAAUACAAUAACCAUUCCGAAUCCAAUCAGAAACAUCCCUACAGAAAAUGAAACAUAGUAUACCUGUAUGUAACAUUUGCUUCUUGUUUUACUAGACUAAACUUACCAAACAAAGCACGGGCAAGGCUGUUGUUUUCCAUGUAUUCGUAUACUAGCAAGAGUUGAUCCCCUUCAACACAACAGCCAUGAAUUUUAACAAGAUUUGGGUGUUGCAAGCACGAAAUCAUGGCUAUCUCAUUUAAGAAUUCACGAUUCCCCUGCCUUGAUUUUGAAGAGAGCUGCUUCACAGCAAUUAUAGUACCAUCUGCUAGUUGACCCUGCAUCCCAGUUAUGAAAAAAGAAAUGUACAAAUUUUAAGUAACCAUUGAAGGAAAUUUUGUGUUAAGAGGAUGAUUAGGGGCAAAAGGUUGGCCAAUAUACCUUGUACACAGGUCCAAAUCCACCUUCUCCAAUCUUCUUUGCAGAAUCAAAAUUGUUAGUUGCAGCUUUAAUUUGCUUUAAGGUAAAAGAAAUUGUUUGGAGAUCCGACUCUUUCAUAAAACCUGUCCAAAUAAAGAGAGACAAGUGUGCUUUAGCCUUUAGAUGAGACAAGUAGCUUUAGCCUUUAGAUGAGUUUCCGGGUUCAUUAAACAAAAUUAGCAUCAGCAUGUAGUUUGAACCCAAAUGUCUUCAAAUGCUUACAUAAAUGCUGUCAAGAACUAAAAUUAAUGCUGUUAUAAAACUACUAUUUUGAUUAUUCUAAUGAAAAAGAAAAUGAAUGUGAAUAAAUGUUGAGUAGCAAAUUGAAGCAUUUUUAAAUUUUUAUCUAAAAGAAGCGCACACCUGUCUCUUUGCGCCUCUUGAUUCUCAAAUAGUAUCUCCAACCGAGGAUACUGACCACCAAGAUUAUGAGAGAUAAUCCUGCAACUACUCCAACAACAAUCGGUACUACCUUCUUCUUCUCAGGUUUGAACUCUGCCGAUGAGAAUCCAUGAAGCAGUUUUGAUUAUCAGAAGCAUGUGAAAACAUGGAACAAAUGCCUUACAGAAAUGUGUGGCUAUGAAAAAAAUUCAGAACUACAUUGAAUAGGCUAAAUAACUAAUGGGGAUUUUCUUUUUCCUGUUACGUAAAUGGAUACAUAAGAAAAUGGCUGGAAACAAACUAGAUAUCUGAAUUUUGGUUGUUUUCUAAUGUACAAUGGCAAUGGCCGUAAAGAGUUAAACUUCAAACAAAAACAUUUGAACUUGUAUUACUAAAAAUCAGGACUUCGGAACGUAUUAUAAUGUUAGUCGAUUUUAAAAGCAUUUUAGAAACAGAAUAAGAGAUGAAAAGUACUCACUGGGGUCAUUCAAUGAAAUAGCUGAUACUAGGGGGCCAUAGAUUCCCCUUUUAGGAAGUGCGGUAGUCCCUUUGCCAGCCCAAUGGAAACGGAUCUCUAUAAUGUGAUUUGUAACAGUGACAUUAUAGGAUCUUGCAACUGGCUUAAGAACCCCAGAAGCCUCAGCUUUUAUAUUGAAAUUCCUCUCAACUAAAUUGUCCUGAAACAAGAAAAUCCAGAGAAACAUUUUGAGAAUCAUCCAUCAUAUUACUCAAUAGCAUGUCUGUCUCCCAAGAACUCACGGAGAGAAAUGCGUCCAAUGAAAAUCUAUUUCCUAAUUUUAAUUAAUUACCUGAAUAUAAAUAUCAAACAAACGCCUUCCCAGGCUGUGAAAUGUAAUUCCAUUACUGAACUGGAUCUCCGCAAAGUGUAGACUCAAUGUAUAAUUCCCAUUGUCUAAACAAUAUCCAAAAUACGUAAGUGAAAGAGGAGCAAUGCGUGCAUUAAUGUAUAGUUCAGAAAGGCCUGAUGAGUCAGAAGUUGCAGUGUAACGGGUGUUUUGGUCAUCAUUAUCAUCAGAGAAGUCUCCAGUGCUACUAAAACCCCAGUUAGUAUCAUCUUGUAAAUGGAACGUUGCAGCACCACCACCAAUUUGUCCAUCUCCUUCAAAUGUGCUGCCAUUUAUUUUUGCUUCAUUUCCACCACAAUUAAUAUGCAGAGAGUGCCAAUCUGCCGAGACAAAAGAAUUUCAAAGACAAUUUGAGCAAUGAGCUUUCAAGAAACCAGAAAUGAAUUGACAAUUGAAAAAAUAAAUGGAGGAAUUGAAGUUGAUUUGAAUAUGAUAUAAUUAAUAGCUAGGCUACCAAUUGUGAUUCUAAAAGUCAACAUACUUGAGAUGUAGAUUUCAUGGCGGCUUAUAGAUAUUAGAGUAUACUUACAUCGAUCGCAUUUGAAAUUAUUCCUGCAUGGAAGAACUCCACUUCUGGUUUUAGCCAAGGGAAAAAAGAAUAUUAGCAUGCAAUAGACAUUGCAUUGUCUAAUAUAAAAAUAUAUGUUGCUUUUAUAUUUAUUGGAUGAUAAAAUGACUGUAUAUAUGCAAAAUUCUUGAUUCAUUGGUUGUUAAAUCUGUCACAUAAGCUACAAUAAUAACAAAGCAUGAAAAGUGACAUACAAAUUGCUGUCCACAGAAGAACUUCGGAACAGGUUCAGAUUUAAAUUCCUAACGAAAUAACAGAAGACGAAGCAAAUAUCAGCACGCAGAUAUACCAAAUGAUAUUAUAAGCAUAGAAGAUUAUUUAUUCACAAAGAGAGGGAAAAUAUACUGACUGUCUCUCCAGACAAGCAGGCUGCUCAGGGCUUUGAUAAGUCAAAUUAUUGUAUGACAGAUCCCUGCAUGCAAGAAAGAAGCACCGAAGGAAAUUUCACAUAUGGUGCUUUUCAAAAUUGAUGUUUAAUGUCGUCUCUUUAGAAACAGGAUAAGAAGCUAUAUAUGACUAUGCAUCACCAUUUACUAUAUUGUAAAUCAACGGAUUACAAAGAUAUAUGAACAUAAAUUACUCAAAUACGAAGAACCAAGGCAUCCAGGUGAUAAGAUACACACACAUUAGUUCCUUUCCUCAAGAUCGAUGCUGGUAUGUUCCCGCUGAGAAAGUUGCCGGUAAGAAAGCUGACCAAGGCCAUAUCAAGUGGUUAAUAAGUUGGACAUCUCAUAAUUAACAUUGUAAAUCCAGACAGUUGGUUAACUUACAUGAACUUCAAAGUCGAAGGAGUUGCAACAUUGGGAAUUUCCCCGAUUAGCCUGUUAAAACUGAGAUCCCUAUCCAAAACAAAUUCAAAAGAUAACGAUUAUCCACAUAAAUACAUUAAGUGGCCUGUAAGUGCUGAUACUUCAACUCUAUUGCUGUUAUUGCAGCUGCAAAGUAUAGAAAAAUACUACAUUACUACUUAGUUGUUACAUUGCAUUAAUGCCAACCUGGAAUUUUGCUUUCAUUUUUCAAGUAUUUAAUUUCUGCAUUAAAAAACAAAGUGUGUAGCGUACUUACAAAAUUUGCAGUUUAUUCAUUCCCCAGAUAUAUUCAGGAAGCUCCCCGGAAAUACUACAGUUUCUCAAAUUUCUGAAAAUCCAACGUUAACCCUGUAAGGUAAUUAUAAGGCAAAGAAUUCUACUCCUUCAACAUGAUAGAAAAUAGGCAAGCAGCAUACAUCAUAGUAAUGCCUGUCAUGUUUCUAAGAUCUGGAAAAGGAUGAUUUGUUCCAGCAAUGUCACUAAUCUUCCUGUUUGAGAGCCAUGAUUAACAGAUCCUUUUAGUAACAUUAAUUACAUUGAAUCAAAUGCAUAAGUUGAUGUAUUGAAUCAUUCCGAUUCUUGUAAGAGAAAUAUUUACUCACAAUUGUUUCAGAUUUUCCAAGACAGAGAUGGAUGACGGAAUGGGUCCAUCGAAUCCACUACCUUGCAUUUCUCUGCAUCAACUCAAAUUAACAAAUCAAGAACAAUCAAGAACCAGAAUGUAAGAUGAGAAAUCUUUGUAAUGUAGAUCACCGUACAGUCUCUCAAGUUGCUUCCAGUUUUGUAUAAAUUCUGGUAUACUCCAAUUGAAGUUGUUGUCACUGAUCCUACUGCAAUGUGCAAUAAGAAUGAUAUACCUCUGAUGAAUUUUGAGCAUGAUCUGACACUAAUCAAGAAAGCUUACAAGUCCGUUAAAUUUUUUAGCUCAGCUAGUCCCGUGGGCAAACUUCCACUCAACUGAUUGGACGAUAGUCUCCUGUAACCCAUGACAAUUUAUCGUCCAAAUGAUUACAUUGAUCAUGAACAAAUAUCAGCCACAAAAAAGCUUGAAAAUGCCUUACAGAGUUCCCAAGUUCACUAAUUUCCUGAACUCCUCAGGUACGGUUCCUGAGAAUUGGUUUGCUUCAAUGUCCCUGGCAAAUUAGACCCAUUCAGAUUACAAAGGGAAUAAAUUAGUUAUCAUUUCCAUCAGUGGCCUAAAUAUGUUUGCAUAAACCAAGAAUUGAGAGCUUACAAGUACGUGAGACUGGUAAUGUUCGUCAAAUGGCUUGGAAUAUUGCCUGAUAACCGGUUUCCAAAAACAGAGCUGCAUUAAGAUUAUUGACGAUCAAUUAACUGUACGAAACUAGUAGAAUGCUAAAUGCUUAACCUGAUUAGAGAGAAUUAGAUAUAGCUUACAUGAACUUCAACUGCAACAAAGCCCAUUCGACUGGUAUGGAACCAUUUAGAUAGUUGUAGGCAAAAUCACUGCAAAUUAACAAAAACGAUUAAUUUAUUUAUAAGUUUAAUCUCCCAAUGCAUUAAAUUGGAGACUGUUCAACUCACACUUUCUGGAUGGAAGGAAGCUGAACCAAUUCCGGUGGAAGUGUUCCAGAAAGGUUGCAACGUUUGAAUUGUCUGAAAAUGGAAAACAAAACAUACCCAAAAUCAACCUACACGCAAAACAGAAAAAUAAAAAUAUGCCACUUAAAAUUUUAUAAAAUAACGGAAAAAGAACCUACAUUUCAGUAAUGUGGCUUGUAUUAUCGAUUCCAAGGUUGCAAGUGAUGAUCCUGGUGGGAUCUUCUUCCAGCACUAUCGGUGUCUCAUUCAGGUCACAAGCAUUAGCAUCAAACGUCCAGUCUCUAGCUCCCAUUGUUUUGGCAAUUUGAUUGAGCGCAUCAACUACAUACACACAGAAGCAUCUCUCAGUUCAACAUCAGAACUUCUGAAAGUAACAGUUUUGAGUUUGACCGGUCACCAAAUUUGAAGUUCUUUUUUUAUUUUUUUAUUUUUUUUAAUAAUAUUACGAAUGCAACUAAUCUGAUCAUUUGAAGAUCGUUGACCCUCAAUUCAAUAAUCAUGUUAGGCUCUUAACAAUGUUUUAUUACUUUAUUUCUGAGAGUAUUAUACUACUAAUACCGGGAGAAAGAAAAAAAAAAAAAAAAAGACGGAAUUUGACCGGUCACCAAAUUUGAAGUUCUUUUUUUAUUUUUUUAUUUUUUUUAAUAAUAUUACGAAUGCAACUAAUCUGAUCAUUUGAAGAUCGUUGACCCUCAAUUCAAUAAUCAUGUUAGGCUCUUAACAAUGUUUUAUUACUUUAUUUCUGAGAGUAUUAUACUACUAAUACCGGGAGAAAAAAAAAAAAAAAAAAAGGACGGAAACAUAAGCUACAACUGGUCACAGCAUAUCAUGAAGAAGGGAAUAUUGAAAAUAAAAUGAAAGUUAUCAUUCCCACCUUCAGCUUGAGGCAGCAUAGCAGAAACAAGUACUUGUGUCCAUAAGCUGCUUAAAGACAGAAGUGAAACAAGUAGAAGAUCAAGCUUCAAGAAGAACAUCUUUGAAAACCCAGAAAAGCUAGCUGUGUGUGAGGUAUGAGCUUCGGGCUAUAUCUUUCAACUCUCUCCAGUUUCCUUGCUGUACCGUAUGGAUCUUCGGAUGAGCUGUUAUUAUUACGUUAUUUUAAUAAUCUUGCUCUUCUUUUGCAUCCGCUGAGCUGCAGGAAUGAUGAAUAUUCCAAGCAAAUAGCUCGAUUAAGAAAAUUCAGUCUAUCCUUCUAAUAUGAUUUUGUCUUUCGUCAUGGGGCGAUUAUAGAAUGCAGUACCAGUCAAAUUAAAGUUAGAUUGUUCUUAUCAUAUUCUGCAUAGAUGGCAAUGGAUUGGAUAUCAUCCAAGAUUCACGUGAUUUAAAUUUAAUCGGAUCGGAUUUGAAUCGGUUUAAAAUAGAUUUGGAUCGGAUUUAGAUAUUGAUGUGCGGAUCUAAGACGGAUCUGGAGCAGAUCUAGAUCUAUCUUAAUAUCUAAAUCCAUAUCUAUAUUUACUCAUCUUUUAAUUUUAUUUUAUUUUAAAAUUUUCUUAACAAUUGUGGAAUUAUAAUGAUAAUAAAUUUUAUUCAUAGCAUAUUAGUAGUAUUUAUCAUGCAUUUAAAUUCUUAAAACUUAGAGAUUAGUUUUGUAAAUUUAAAGGUCAGCCAGCCUCAAAGCAUGUACAUGCAAUAUUCAAAUUGCAAGCCAAGUAAUAUAACCUGACAAUUUAUUUUAUUAUAUUGGCCAAAUAAUUUUUAAGGAAUAUAAUUAUUCAUAUAUUUAGUCAAAUAUGUUCAUAAUAAAAAUAAUAAAGGACUGAAUAUAAAUCAUAUUUAAUUUAUAUGUCAUUAUCUAAUGUUGUAGGAAUGAUGGUAGGUGUAUCGUGGAUAUUAGAAUGAUGAAGGAGACAAUAGAAUAUUAUAUUGAUCUUACUCCUGCAAUUACUUCUGAAUGAUAUUUAUUAUCUUUCUUAUUUGUUGUUUUGGUGUAAAAGUAUAAGCUACAAUAUUUAUUAUAUUUUUGAGAAAAAUUAUAUAAUUUAUUUGUUAUCAAUACAUUAUAGCCUUCAAUUUUCAAUCUAAAAAAUUAUUUUUUUUUUAUUACUGAAUUUUAGAAUUCAUGACAGAUUUAGAGCAGAUAUGAAUUUUAAUUUUUUUUCGGAUUUGAAGUAAAUAUAGAUAUUUAUUUCUUUUUUGGAUCUGAAUAUGAAACGAAAAAUAUGGAUUCAUGACGAAUCUGGAGCAAAUACAAAUCUUGAUUUUUAUUAUAAAUUUAAAUAUAGAGCAGAGUAGAUCCAACCCAUAUCUGCCCCAUUGUCCCCCUAAUUCUGCAUAGUAUCCAAAUGCAUUAUUUUAAUCAAAAGUUGGUUCUGCACAUGGUCCACUUGCCGCCUGCCUGGCUGCCAGUGACUUAAACCUCAUCCGCAGUUUAUCUGAUUAAUUAAUCCCCGAUUUUGAAUUGUCAUUGGUUUUUUGCAUGUUCAUAUUGUAGGAUUCUGCUUUAAAUAACUUAAUUUUGACCAUCGAAAUUAGGCAACGUGGCCACGGCUUUCUGAUAUUUUUCACAUCAAUCACUAUUAUUUUAGUGCAAUAAUGCAUGUCUUAGGAAAUUAAUUAUUUUUCCUUUAUUAUACAUACAUACAUACAUACAUACAUAUAUAUAUAUAGUGUGUGUGUGUGUGUGAGUGUGUAUAUAAUAGCAGCAUUAGGAUCCAUAGAAGAGAUUACAGAGAGAGAGAUAUAUAUGUGUGCGUGUGUGUGUCUAUAUAUAUAUAUAUAUAUAUUAUGUAUAUUAAUUAACUAGUUAGUCACAGAUGUCCAUAUACAAUCUGAAUUUGAUUAGUUAGUUAAUUGGACCUUUUAAAACAAAAAAAGAGAAAUCCAUGUUGGCUUGGUGGUUAAAAAUAUAUAUAUAUAUUAACUUGGAGAUGCAUGUCUCACUUUGAUUACGUUACCUCCCCGUUCCCAUUGGCUAUCUUUCACAAAAUACACGCAUCGACUAUUGGUUGUUUCAAAAAUUUUCUCAAGAUUGAAGAUAAAUUUUUGGCUUUACUUUUCUUAGUAGACUUUUUAUUUUUACAGUACAUUUCUCAGCGGACUUCGAGAUUAUUAUGCUCAUGCAAAGAACUCUCUCUUCUUUCUUUUUCCCACUGAAGAAAUAAAAUAUUUAUGUUACCAUUUCCAUUUGGCUUCAAUGAUGAAAGAGAAAAAUUUACAAAACAAAUGUAUAUAUAUGCGAUGGGCGAUGGCGUUUCCCGCCGGGUCCGAGAGGCACGUGUCUUGGAAGUUUAGCGGAACCAGAAAAUAAUAAUAAGCCCGUAUCUUGUUUGCUAUUGUUUCUUAAAUCUGACGGUAAGGACAUUGUUUUCCCACUUGUAUUAAAAAGGUCACAAACCCCUUUUUCGUUUGAAUGAUUACAAUUUCGGAUAUAUUACAGUGAGAUUUAAGAAAAAGGGUUUGUGACCUUUUUAAUACAAAUGGAAAAACUAUGUCCCCACCGUGAGAUUUAAGAAAUUUCUAAUGAAGACAUUCUCACUCUAUUAAGCGGAGUAUAUCAUUAGAAUACAAAAAAUAUAAUUUUUAAUAUAUUAAAAUCAGUAUUUUUUAUCUGUUAUUAUAUUGGAAUCUGUGUUUUUUUUUUUUGUUAGUGACAUUCUCAUUUUAACAAAAUAUGAAUGUUCUCACUAAAGAAUGACUAUAUAUAUAUAUACACACAUUAUAGGAUUUCUUAUUGUCUUACAUGCCUAAUGAUCCAAACUCUUACACUUUAGUCUGAAUGUUAAUAGAGCUAAAUGAUAUAGUUAUUUUUUUUUCUCUAAAUCACUAAAAAUAAAUAUUAAGUCAUUUUUUUUACUUUAAAAAAUCUAAAAACAAGUAUUUUUACAUUUUGUGCGCUUGCAAAUUAAUAUUCUAAAUUAGUGAAUGUUAAUCAUUAUAGUUUAUGAUGUUUUUAUAUGAAAAAUAUUCAUAAAAAUUUGUAAAAAAAUAAUGCUAAUUUGAAGAAAAUAAAAAGAUAAAAAUAACAAUGAUCAACCAUUAUAUUAUCACAAGUUAUGGAGAUUGUGUAAUAAUUCUAAUUAUUAAAUUUUAUUUAGGUAAGGAUGAAAAUUAAUUAAUUAGAUAGUGAUAUUUUAAAGAAUAUCUUUUAGGGCAAUUAUCCACCAACUACUUAUUUUUUCGCACUUUUUUCAAAAAUAUACAAUUCUUAAUUUUUUUUAUGAACUCCACUCGAAAUUAUAUUAUUUUACACAUGUCCACUUCUGUCUUCAAAAUGUUAAGAGAACUAACAAAAUAUUAUUUAAAUGACUUUUUUACCCCCAGAUGUAAAAGAACAAUUACCACCGACCACUUUUUUUCACAGUUUUUUGAAAAUUACACAAUUCUUAAUUUUUUUUUGCUGAAAUCCACUUAAAGUUAUAUUGUUUUGCACCUGUCCACUUCUGUUUUCAAAUAAUGUCAUUGUGAAAUGAUAAAUUUACCUUUAUGAUAUCAGUAAAGUUCUAACAAUGUUAUAACGAGAGUGGACUAGUGCAAAAAAUGAUAACUUCAGGUGGAGCGCUGCCCAAAAAAAAAAAGAUUUGUGUAUUUUUGAAAAAUCUAGAAAAAAAAAGUGUUUGGUGGAUAAUUACCCUAUUUUUUAAUAACAUUAUUCAAACUUUUUAGAUUAAACCAAAAGUUAAAAAAAUUAGCUUAAUAACUUAAUGACUAAAAUUUUUUAUUAAGUUGAAAAAACCAAAUAGACUUGGUGCAUAUUUGGUAUGGCUUAUCUAAUGGCUAUAAGUAUUUAUUUAAUCUAUAAGUUGUUUUCAAAUUUUUUUUAUUAUCGUUUGAUUGUUUUUUAGUAGAGGUUUUGAAGAUUAAAUUACUUAUUCUGCUUCUACUAGUAAAAGUUCAAAUUUUAAACUUUGAGGAGUAAAUGUUGAAAAGCUUUUUUAAAAUGUUAAAAUGUUUAAAAUAUCAGUUAUUUAUUCCAUAAUCUUAUUUCAUUUUUUUUUCUAAUGUUACUUUAGAUAACUUGCCUAUUAAGAUAAUUUUAUGAUUUUUAAUAAAAAUUUUCAUUGACAACCAAAUAACUAAAAUUUUUUUAGUAAAAACUUUAAUUAUGAAAACUCUAUUUAAAUAAUCUUUAUUUGAAGAGUUAUACCAAAUAGAAUUUUAAUACUUUAACUGAUUGAAUUAAGUUAAUUAAAUAAAAAAAACGACCCCUAAGUUACAAACAAUUACUAAUGAUAAAAGUUUAAUAUUGCGAAGGCUAUUUAAAAAAAGAAAAUAAAAGAAAAGAAAAAGUUUAAUGUGCAAGAAAGAAUAUAUGACAUUUUGAGCGAAUAAGAAAAAAAUUGUAUUAUUGAGAAAUGGUUAAAAUUAGGGAUACAAAUGUUAUUAACCGAACCCCCCCAAAAAAAGGGGGAUGACGUGGAAGGUGCAAACAUGGUGAAUGGCAAGUAAAUUCGAUGCUGAUAAGCGAUAACCGGAAACUGAAACCCUAAUCUCUGGUUGCUGAAUGGACGAACGGAAUCAAACCAACGAUGACGACGACGAAUUCUUUGAUACGCUCGACGAUUUUCCCUCUUACGACUGCAUUUCCACCGACCAAUCAGAUCAAUCCACGUCAGAAUACAAAGAGACCACCUCCACUCUACGACGCCGUUCUAUCCCCAACCGCCGAACUGAUAUUAAUAACUCCGGAGAGAAAAGGUACAAACUUUCUCGAAAUCAGAGAGAAAAAGAAACUAAUUUGAUAAAAUCUGAGCCCAUCAUGAAGGACCGAGAUGUCUCAGUCCAUCUCGGAAGUGGUGAAAAAGUGUUUGGUGGAUAAUUACCCUAUUUUUUAAUAACAUUAUUCAAACUUUUUAGAUUAAACCAAAAGUUAAAAAAAUUAGCUUAAUAACUUAAUGACUAAAAUUUUUUAUUAAGUUGAAAAAACCAAAUAGACUUGGUGCAUAUUUGGUAUGGCUUAUCUAAUGGCUAUAAGUAUUUAUUUAAUCUAUAAGUUGUUUUCAAAUUUUUUUUAUUAUCGUUUGAUUGUUUUUUAGUAGAGGUUUUGAAGAUUAAAUUACUUAUUCUGCUUCUACUAGUAAAAGUUCAAAUUUUAAACUUUGAGGAGUAAAUGUUGAAAAGCUUUUUUAAAAUGUUAAAAUGUUUAAAAUAUCAGUUAUUUAUUCCAUAAUCUUAUUUCAUUUUUUUUUCUAAUGUUACUUUAGAUAACUUGCCUAUUAAGAUAAUUUUAUGAUUUUUAAUAAAAAUUUUCAUUGACAACCAAAUAACUAAAAUUUUUUUAGUAAAAACUUUAAUUAUGAAAACUCUAUUUAAAUAAUCUUUAUUUGAAGAGUUAUACCAAAUAGAAUUUUAAUACUUUAACUGAUUGAAUUAAGUUAAUUAAAUAAAAAAAACGACCCCUAAGUUACAAACAAUUACUAAUGAUAAAAGUUUAAUAUUGCGAAGGCUAUUUAAAAAAAGAAAAUAAAAGAAAAGAAAAAGUUUAAUGUGCAAGAAAGAAUAUAUGACAUUUUGAGCGAAUAAGAAAAAAAUUGUAUUAUUGAGAAAUGGUUAAAAUUAGGGAUACAAAUGUUAUUAACCGAACCCCCCCAAAAAAAGGGGGAUGACGUGGAAGGUGCAAACAUGGUGAAUGGCAAGUAAAUUCGAUGCUGAUAAGCGAUAACCGGAAACUGAAACCCUAAUCUCUGGUUGCUGAAUGGACGAACGGAAUCAAACCAACGAUGACGACGACGAAUUCUUUGAUACGCUCGACGAUUUUCCCUCUUACGACUGCAUUUCCACCGACCAAUCAGAUCAAUCCACGUCAGAAUACAAAGAGACCACCUCCACUCUACGACGCCGUUCUAUCCCCAACCGCCGAACUGAUAUUAAUAACUCCGGAGAGAAAAGGUACAAACUUUCUCGAAAUCAGAGAGAAAAAGAAACUAAUUUGAUAAAAUCUGAGCCCAUCAUGAAGGACCGAGAUGUCUCAGUCCAUCUCGGAAGUGGUGUUAGCGAAGAGAAGGAGGAGGAGUCGACGGUGACUACUGAGAAUGAAGAACGAGUUGUUGACUCGCUUGUUUCCGAGGCUGAGUCGCCACAACCGUCGAGUUUGCUUGAUUGGACUGUUGGAUUGGUGAUUAAAGCAAUUGGUUUUCAAGUUAAUUUGCUAAUUGGCUUCAUCUUGCUUCCUUUUAACGUUAUUUAUUACUCUUUUAUGUUAAUUACGAACCCGUUUGGUACUGUGAAUCGUGGAAAGGAUUAUUUAUUACAAAAAUUGUAUAAUUUCUGGAAUUUAAUUUGGGGGUUUGUUAGUCCUCUGAUUCAUGAUUGGUUUAAAGGGCACGAAUCAAUAUGGAAGUUCGUUUCGCGUUUUGGUUGGGGCUUGUUUUGGGCGAUUUUUGUGUGUUCCAUAUUGUGUGGGUUAUUGCUUUUUUCAAUUCUUACAAGUGGGAUUUUGAUGAGGUUCUUGGUUGAGAAACCAAUUCAAAUAAGGGAAACAUUGAAUUUUGAUUACACAAAGAAUAGACCGGUUGCCUUUGUGCCUAUAAUGUCAUGUGAUUGCGCUUUCUCUGGUGUCAAUUGUAAAGAGAAGAAAGAACUUCCUUGGGGUUUAGGCCCGCGGGUUAUACCAAUUGGUCAUAAACUACAGGUUACUGUGAAGUUAACAUUGCCAGAGUCGGACUACAACCGAAGACUUGGGAUUUUUCAGGUAUUUAUUUGAUUCAUUUACUUUCGAGUUUACAUCUGUUCUUUUUCAAAGUUCAUUUUGUUCAAGUUGUUAUUGAGUUUAUGGUAAAUCUUUCUGAUUUCUCUGUUUCAAAUUCAAGCUACAGCAUUCUAUGCUUGAAACAUCUUAUCUUUGCAUAAAAAUAAUUAGGAAGUUGAAUGGAUUAAUUUUAUAACAGCCAAGAUAAAAUUUUAGGUGAUUCUUAUUGUUUUUUGCAUUGUUAGUGCAAUUUAGAAGCUCAAUUCCUUUGGAAGGAUUAUUGCUAUUUCCAAUUACCACAUUGUUACUUAAGAUGUGUUGUGCACAAGGAAACUGAUAGCUUGUAUGUUCUGCUGGAUUCCAUAAAUGUAUUUGAAGUAGCAGUUUCUUCGUGCAAGUUGGUUAAUCAUACCGUGUGGAAAGUAUUAGACAUGAUUUUUAUUUAGAGAAUGAAAGGGCCUCAUUUAGACCUUUAGUAAGGUGAUAUAGUUUUUCAGUAUGGAAAGAGUUAUUUCCCAGUUUUUGAGGUAAAACCGCACCUCCUUCCUCCCUUCUUGUCAUUGAAGUUGCAGUUCACCCAAUGACAAGCAAUUUUUGUCUUUCCUAAGAUUACCAAGAACCUUUGUGGGGAACUUUUCUUUGUGGUAACAUCAUAAAAAGUUAGGAAUGAAAUACCAUAUUAACCUAACAUUAUGCACUUGAUGGUAUAUUAUGUCAACUUAGUACUUAGACCACUUGCUGCUGUUGAAAAAGAAAGUGUCUUCCCCCGUUCUCUUUUGAAGAGCAUCACUUUAACUUAUGACGUGUUAUCUCAAAGCAGCCUUAUUCUUUUCCCUUUUUUUAUUACUGAAGAUAGUGAGUGUAAUUAUUGCAUUUGAAUUCUUGGUUCUCUAUUCCUUUUUUUAUUUCUUUUUUUUAAUCUGCCUGUGUAUUUAUCAUGUUGGUUUUUCAAUAUCAAUAUAGGAUGAAUGUUUGUCUGACUUGUUUUGUUUUUGUUUUGAAGGUCAGAGUAGAGUUCCUUUCUGGUAAUGGUGAAACCCUCUCAAGUUCAAGCCAUCGUACCAUGUUAAAGUUUAAAAGUGAACCUGUCCGUCAUCUUUUGACUUUCUUCAAAGUUGCUCCUAUUGUUGUUGGAUAUGUAUCGGAAACUCAAACUCUGAAUGUGAAGUUUAGAGGUUUUGUAGAACGGGAUGUUCCUACCUCCUGCUUGAAGGUGAUGAUUGAACAAAGAGCAGAAUUCCAGCCUGGUGCUGGUAUCCCUGAAUUAUACGAUACACCCCUUAUCCUUGAAUCAGAGCUUCCACUAUUCAAAAGGAUCAUAUGGUACUGGAAGAGAACUAUUUUUGUGUGGAUUACCAUGACAUUGUUUAUGACGCAGUUGUUCUUUGCACUUAUAUGCUGUAGACCUCUUAUACUUCCAAGACCGAGGCGUAGGGAGGAUCCUGCUAGCAGUAGCACUACUCCAGGUAGUCUCCCAUCACAAACAGAAUCGAGGCCACGACCUCAGCAAACUUGAGGAAAUGAUGUUAGGUGAAGAUUAACCUCUGUACAUCAGCACUCACAUUUUCUAACAAAUUCAUUCAUAUUCAAGUAAUUUCUUACUUUGAUUGUUCAAAAAACUUUUUGCAACUCUACUUUGGCCGCAAUGCAUGUGUUUUUUAACUGAGUGUAGUUGUUUAGCAGUAAAUGGUUUACCUGUCGAAAACAGAAUUUUAAAAUAUGUGAACUUAGAGAGCAGAUUAUGCUCUUGCAUAUUAGUUGUAAUACUAAUUUUACAUUGUAAAUUUCUAUAAUUCAAUGUUCUUCUCAUGACGCCAAAAUGGUUCACAUGGUUUGUAUGAUUCUUUUAGAUGGAAAUUGAAAAAGUUGUGAUGCAAGUGCAUCUGUAAUUCUUAAAGGCCACUUGGUCUCGCAAAAUCUUGCGUUUUGCAUACUUAUAUUUUAACGUGUUCUGUUUUACGUGUAUGGAGCUUGAAUCAUGUGACCUCUGGAACAACAAUUUGGUUAAGGAAAUAAUCUUAAAUCUGUUGCUUAUCCAUUCGAGGGCGGCGGCAACACGUUCUGUUCAAUGAUCAUCUCAGACCAGGACACAUCGUCUCUUAUUUUAUCCAAAUUGUGAGAAUACUAAGGACGGUUGAAUACCCCAAUUCACUUUGCCCGUGUUGUGUUGUGUGGUUAGCAAAUUUCAAUUCAUGUUUCUCUUUUAAAAGUCAUUUACUACUAGCACGCCAUUCACGUAGAUUAUGUGUACCAGAUUCAGGUUUUGGAUAAUGAACACGUAUUAUUGCAAUACAAGCCAGAAUGGAAUGCGCAUAAUCAGAAAAUUUUCGUUGGACAAGUUUCUAGAAUAAAAAAAAUCAGACUGCAGAAUUGAUCUUAUCUGUAGAAAUUUCUGAAGACACGUAAUGAAAGAUGAAACGAGCAAAGACGCUACAAUUUUAAUAUAUUGUAGUUCAUUUCAUUUUGAAGUCCAGUACAUGCCAUUCACACAUAAUUAAGAUUUGCAUUGAAGUACAAAAGCAAAACAAGAAGAAAAAAACAGCGUCCUCCUCUUGGCUCUUCUAGUUUACACAAAUCACAGAAUUAGCAUCUUAUCUCAAAUCAGAAGCCAUCAAUUAUUAACUAUUGGAACAAAUCCAAUCAUCUGAGAUUAAGAACGUCCAGCUCCCUUUAAGAAAGAGGCACUCUUUGUAAUCUCUCGCAAAGGCUUGUCAGUAUAUCUCACCAUGUUGUAAACCCAAGCCCCUGCAGUUGCCCCUAGAGGUGGCGCCACAAUGUAUAUCCACAAACCCUUGUACUGACUUGAUACAAUUGCUGGCCCCAAGCUUCUUGCUGGGUUCAUUGAUGCUCCUGUUAUUGGCCUGCAUUCCACAUCACAGUAUAAGCAUCAUUCCCGUGCACACAUGUACAGGUAUCAAUUAGAAAUGAUCGAGUUAACAUAUACAUAUACCCGGCAAACAUGACAUUAAGCAGCACUGUGGAACCAACAGCGAGACCUGCAAGCUCGCCUAUCUGCAUAAGCAACCCAACAAAUUAUUUAUCAAAAUAAUGCAUAUGUAUAUAAAAUUAAAUGUCUAUAUAUUUAUCUUUGUCAAUACUCAAUACAGGUAAGCUUAAGUCAUCGUCAAAAUUAAACUAAUGGUUUAAGAUAUAUUGUGAGUUGACACAGCAGAAGAAGCACUCUUUGGCAAAUAUUAGACAGGGUGAUCAUGAAAUGCCAAAACUUGUUAAGCAAUAUAAUCUGCCAACCCAAAUUGACUAAACAUAUACUUAAAUCAAAUAUAAUGACAAAAUUAGAAGCAAUGAUUAUUCUUAAUAGGUAAAGAAAGAUGAACCGACAGCUCUGUUAUCGGUGGCGACACCGGAUAUGACAAACAUGAGGUAGAAGGUGAUAAUGAACUCCAUCACAAACGCCUGAAUAUUGGAGCCAGCUGGAAGUGUUCCUGCGAACUGAUCCUGUUUUUCUUGAAACAGUAACCGAAGUGUUCCCGCAGCCAACGUUGAUCCCAGAACUUGGCAUAGUAUAUAAGGCGGAACCUGCAACAUUCAUUAAUUAUACGAGAUAGGAUUCAGUGUCAGGACGAGCCGUUUGAGAGAUUUCAAGUGUUGUAUGACUUCUCUAAUCAAAUCCACAUAAUCAUUAACGACAGUGUGACAAAGAAAAGACUAACCUAACUAUAAGUUGGUUUGAGUAGUUUACCAAAUUUGGUGAAAAAUAAUAAGAAGAAGAAGAAAUAGUUGAAUCCCUAAGAGAACUUAAUUUGACCGUGACAAUAAGAAUUUGUAAAGAAAAGAUAAAGAAAAGAAAAGAAGAUGAACCUGUUUCCAGGGAAAACGUUUGCAGGUGGCAUGAGCAAUGGUGACAGAAGGAUUGAAAUGGGCGCCGGAGAUGUGACCGAGGGAGUAAACAAGCACCAUCACAACAAGUCCCCACACAAUUGAUAUUCCUGGAAGCGACACUAUCUUUUCAUUGUUCAGAUUCACCACCACCGAUGCACAUCCCGCGAAUAUCAUAAAAUAUGUCCCCAAAAUCUCCGCCAUCAACUGCACAUACAUAUAUAUGCUCAUCAAUCCCAUCAAUCCAUCGACAACGGAACAAAAUGUAUGAAUGAAUGAAAGAAAAUUAAUAAGGAAAAAUAAUUUACAUUUAGUCACCUUUUGCAUGAAGGGUACUGAAAAAUAUACGGAGUCCUUUGUGUCGCAUGAAGGAGGAGGAGGAGGAGGAGCAGAGGAAGGGCAAUUCUGAAUGGCAUCUUCACAAUCUUUGAAUGUUACACAAACUCCAUUGCUCCCUGUCCCUGAAUUAUCGGCCAUGAUCUAUCUAUAUAGGAUCAAGGCACAGUGAUCGGAGAGCAAAGUGGACAGACAAAGGCACAGUGAUUUCUCUUUACUUGGGGCCGGGAGGUGGAGUGAGUUUUAUUUGGUGUCCUUCUGAAAUCACAUGCAAUUUAUGGACAAGCGAAAGAGAAUCCUGAGAAAAUGGAUAGGUGGACUUCGUCACAAAGUAUUUAUUGUGAGACGCUUAUGGCCACCUUUUUAUUUUUCUUCUUCUUUAAAUUGAAUUAGAAUUUCAAUCUUUUUUUUUUUUUCCUUGUUUAUAUUAAUUUUUAUUUUUCAAUGUCAUUAUCCGUUUGCUGCUUUGGAGAUAUCGUUGAAAUAUGCGACAAUUAAUAGUUAGUGUUAAGAAAAGGCAUUGAAGGCUGCUUCCAACCACCCGCCGGAAAUACAGAAACUCAUGAAGCAAGGCCUUCCUUUUUUAAUAACACCUAAUGUACUUAUUUUUCCCUUUUUUGAAUAAAUCCAUUAUUUGAUUUAGCCACAAUUAAUAUUGCUUCCCUUACCCAUAUUCAAAAAUACUUACUUGGCAAUUUCUGCUUACCUUAUUUAACAUUUUUCCUGGCAAAAAUGUCAAUAUGUUUAUUAUGGAAGUAAUUUUUCAUUCUGGACAUACCAUAUUUUAGAAAAGAACUAAGUUGUUUUCUUCUUUUUCAUUUUCUGUUGAAACUAAUUCUACACUUGCAAAACCGACUAAUAGUUUUAAUUUUUUUUAUCUCCCUUUCUUUCUCUUUUUUUUUUUUUUUUCUCUUUUACCCUAUUUUCUUUCAAUGUUCUCUCGCCAUCAUCGAAAACCAAUUAUGCCAUUCGUCUCUUAUUUAACCCUAUAAUGUUGAUUUGUAAAUCCUCUGAAAUUUCCAAUUGAUAAAGAAACAUUUUUAAAUUCAAAUUGAUAGAUGUCGCAGUAUUAGUAGUAGGGCUGCAUUAUGGAUUCGGGAUUUACCCACGUCUAACAAAGAAACAAAAAGUGAUGGUAAGUUUUAACAAAUAUCUUAUAAUUUUUUUUAUUUGUCAAAAAUACAAGAAAAAUAAUAAGUUCAGACAUUUAUUCAAAACCAAAUUAAGGCUUAAAUUCAUAUAAUCCACCUUUUUGACAUCUCUAUCAAUUUGACUAAUUAAUCCUUCAAUCUUUUGUUUUCUUCUUGAAUAAAUAGUUACAACUCUUCAAAACAUAUGAAAAGGGGAAUGAAUUAGCCCCGACGGGGCGGCUCAAAUGUUGAGGGUAGAUCAAUGGCAAUUAGUCCAUCAAUCUUUAGUUCCUGUAAUACCACAUUUUAAACAAGUUUUAAGUCAAAAAGCUUCUCAAUUAAAAAAAAAAAAGAAAAAAGGUCAAAGAGGGAAUUCUGCUUCCCUCAAUAUUACCAAAAGAAUAAGAUAAAAAGGUUAAGGGAUUUUGCUUUCCCGAUCAAGCAAAUGACAUCAAUGGCAAUAUUAUCUCUGAACAAAAUUACACAAAUACCGCAUCCUCUGCUCUAAAUUAUAUGGACUCUAGAGAUCUCUCCUCUAAUUAUUUUGCUUCCUUGCAUACAAAGCAACAGAUUAAUUAUCCAACCACAGCCUCGUUUUCUUUACCUUACCGGCAUAAUUGUACAUAAGUAUGCAUAUUUUCUAUACCCGAUUGGUUGGAUUUUAUUUAUACAACUUAUAGGUGAACAAAAUCCAUAUAAUCACGCCAUUAGUUGUAACAUGAGGCAAGCACUUGAAAGACCAGUCAAACAAUAUACUACCACCUGUUUACAAAUGGAUUUACCCCACGUUAAUUAAUUCACUCCCCUGCUCCCCCUCAAACAAACUCUACUUAAUUAAUUUUUGCAACUUCUGUCAACUGAUUCCAUUUCACGGCGGCAAUAUACCAAAACUACCGGAAUUAAUAUGAAGAUGAAAUGGACAGGUUAUAUUUCAAAGUACAUUUUCCUUUAUUUAUUUUCUUGGACAAUUUAAUUAAUGGGUCCUAUGAAAGAAGAAAAUUGUACAAGUUUGACAUAUCAAAGUCCAAUCAUCUAGAUCAUGAUGAUCUCACAUUUUGUCACGGCUUCCGUAGUUCUUUUACACACACAUACAGAUGGGUCAUAUACUUAUUUUCCUAUUUUCCACGGGCAAGUAUUGCUCUGUAAAAUUGUCAAAAGAAAGCACUUGGGGGGGGGAAAAAAAUAUCCUUACUAGCUAGUGCAUGCAAACAUCAACUACUCUUCAAAAGUUUCCAUUGGAUUCAUUCAACAAGCGUAAUUGAAAGCUACAAACAGUAAAGAUCAAACAGAGGAGCGAGCAAUGAGAUAAAUAUUUCAACGCGCAAAGUGCAAACUCACCAUUAAAUGCCACCCUUGUAAUUCGUUCAAGUAGUCAUCUACAUUAAUAUUGUUAAUGCACCCACCAUCUUUGCUUUAAUCCCAGUCGGUGUCUAUAGGAUAUUACAUAUUCAAAGCUAUGGAUGUCGAUCAAUUGGUCAUCUUUUUCCCCUAUUCACUUUUUGUGACUUUUUUUUUUUGGGUCUUUGGAUGCCACUUCAAAUCUUCAAUCUUCUUCUUGGAAUUUUACGCUUUCACAUUGGUUUCACAUUUCACAUCAAAUUAGUAGUGUUUUGCUGACUCCUCAAAUCUCGCCCAUACUUCAUGGAAACUCAACAAAAUUCUCUGUUUUAAAUUAAUGGCAGGCAUAGACUUUGACCUUUCGUUCCCGUUGUGCACAAAAUUCCACAUCUUUGCAUCCUCAUUUUGCGGCACCAAGUUGCAUAUCAUGAAUUUAGGGACUCGACUAGCUUACAGUAUCAUUAAGGCCUGUCACUGUGUAAUAGAAGAAUAAGUCGAGCAGUAAAAUAACUUGACUAUUUUUUGUUGGAGUCCAUAAAUCAGUGAGGCUACGUUUGACACGAAGGAUUAAAUUGAAUUAUAUUAAUUGGAUUAUACAUAGUGAUAACUUAUAUUUAUAUAGUAUUAGAUUGGACUAUGUUACAUUAAAUUUAAAUGAAGUUAAAUAGUAUUUAAGUUAAUAUUUGAAUUUAAAUACAACUAUUUAUAGAUAUUUAAUAAGAAAUAUUAUAAUUAAUUAAAAAUAAAGCUAAUAAGAAUAUAUAUAUAUAUGAUUUAAAAUAUAGAUGAUUUCAUAUGAGAUAUAUUAUUUCAUUAAGAAAAUAAAUAAAAUUAUUGAAAUAAUAAAUUAAUUAAUAAUUUUUAAGUAAAUCAUGAAUAAAAAAAAUAAAAAAAUUGCUUAAUUAAUAACAAAAAUAAAUAAAUAAUUUUUAAGUUAUAAAUAAGAAUAGUAAAUGGACAAGUAUUUUUCUUCUUAUUGUCUGAUCCUAACUAAAUCCACAUGAAAACUGGGAUUAAAAUUUAAAUUUAGUCCAUUUGUCAAAUGCAAGUGCAUAUAUCAAACAUGAGAAUAAUACUUUGUCAUAAAAAUUAGUCCAACCUUAUAUUUAAUCUGACUCCCAAACAUAACCUAAAGGUCGGACGUCAAAAGCUCAUCAGUGUAUUCAAAUCUUAUUUUUUAAAUAAUGUAGACGCACCAAGCUUUUACCCCAAAAAUAAAAGAUUUUGGCGGGUGAAGUUUGUAUAACGGGCUUAAUCCUGAGACUGUCGGUUCGAAUUACUACUUAGUAAUAGCGGAAGUAUGUCUAAAGCCCAAAAAAGGCCCAAGCCUUUGCUUUCCAUUUUCAAGAAAAAAAAAAUUAAACAUAAACCUCAAUUAUUCCUCUAACUCAAUUUCUUUUUUUUUUUUAAAUAUUACAGACAGUUCUACUAAUAUUUCAAUUAAAAAUAUAGUAGUAUAAGACGAUGAGGAGAACAAACUAAAAAUAGGCACUAAAAUUGAAGGAAUCGACUUCAAAUAAAAUACACUCAUAUUUUAAUAUUAAUUUAUUAUUACUAGAAAUUGAACCCCAUCUCUUAAAAUUAAGAAAGGAAAGUAAAAAUCAUCCAGCCAAUGAAUGAGUAUUUCUCCCUUCAACUCAGAUUUAAAAUUAAACUAAGCAAAUUCCUUUGUGACAUUAGAUUAAUUUAUAAGUAAUCAACACAAUUACAUAAACCAAUAAUAAAAUCCUAUUGUUGUGUACAAGGAGAAGGAAUGUCAAUGCACCCUUACUACUUUCAAAUGGCCAUCUCCAUGAUAGAUUUGAGUAUGCGCAAAUUGAUCUACAAAUAGUAAUUUUCUUGAUCUUAAAUUUAGAGAUUUUAGAGGUAUAGGAGGACAAUAAACAUGAAAAAUAUUCAUUUGCUUACCUAUGUGGCAAAUAGAUGAGUGAAAAAAGAUGUUGUUUUCCAAAAGACUUUUCAAAUAUAAAUGAGUUAAUAUUAUUUUAAUUAAAUAACUAUUUUUUAAAAGGAAAAGUGAAUAUAAUUAAAGCACAUUUCUCUUUUUCUUCAACAAAAAGUAAUAAAAUAUAAAUUAAAGAGGGAGAAAAUAAUUCUUCAAAUUUGAAAAGAGAGAUGAUCAUUUCUUAUUUGAAGAAUCUUAAUUAGAGUGUCUUUUGAAUCCUUAAAUAUUAAUGUAACUCUUUAAAUAAGUAAUAAAAUCUUAUUUGAAAAAUAUUUUGGUGAUGAUGUGAGUGUAACAUACUCGCGACAUAAGUUGUAAAUUAGCAAAUCCAAUCUCCGCCUCACUUAUCAAUUUCGCGGCCUCACUUUUCAAUUUUGCCAAAAAAAUAAAUAAAUAAAAAUAAAAAUAAAAGUAGCUUCGGAACCGAACCUAACUUCAUUACCGUUACACCGAAGCGAAAUUUAAAACACCCAACGGCAACGGCAGCGUCUCCCACAAAGACAAAAUCACACCCCUAAAUUCAAUCCCCAAAUCUCGGACCCUCUCUUUCUUUCAAAUUAUCCGAGAAAACACACAAGCUAAAAAUGGUGGCCAAAAUGGGCAAGAGAACCCCAACAAAGACUUUCAAGCAUCAACGGCGCCACCACCACCGCAAGAAGUCUCCGGCGAAGACCGCCUCCGCCGCCACCAUCAUCUCCUCCAUUAACAAGUCUUUGCACACAUGCAAGCGUCGCCUCGCCAGGAUUUUCUCCAAAUUGGUACGCAUCACCACCCCGUCAAGAUGCAAGACCAAAGGCUACAAAAUCCUGAGAUCCCAAGAUAAAGAUUCAAAUUCAAAUGGCGAAGAUCAACUUCUUGUUCCGCAAGUACUUUUCUUUGGCAAUGAACAUCUGUUGCCUCCUCUGAUCUCCCCCGAUAAGAAGACAAUUUUUCUUGAUCUUGAUGAGACCUUGAUUCACUCCAAGCCUGACCCUCCUCCCGAAAGAUUUGAUUUCAUUGUUAGGCCGAGGAUUGACGGAGAAGUUUUGAACUUUUAUGUGUUGAAACGGCCCGGCGUUGAUGCUUUUUUGGAUGCAAUAAGCAAGAAGUACGAGGUGGUCGUGUUCACAGCCGGGUUAAAAGAGUAUGCUUCUUUGCUUCUUAAUAGGCUCGACAGGAAUGGGGUGAUUUCGCACCGCCUUUAUCGUGACUCUUGCAAGCAGAUUGAUGGCAAGUUUGUGAAGGACUUAUCCGAGAUGGGGAGGAACUUGAAGCAAGUUGUCAUUGUCGAUGAUAAUCCUAAUGCUUACAUAUUUCAGCCGGAAAAUGCCAUUCCGGUGAAGCCCUUCACCGGUGAUCCUAGCGAUAUUGAGUUGUGGAAGUUGGUCAAUUUUUUUGAGGCUUGUGAUUGUUUUGUUGACAUGAGGGACGCUGUGAAGGCGUUUGAUCUUGGCGAAAGGUAUGAGAAGUUGGAAGAAAUGUGAUUUUUAUUGUUCUUUUGAUUUGUUGAAAUGAUAUGUAUUCAGCAUAGGAUUGUUCAAUUUCUUGAGUUGAAGUUGGUAAUCGUGUAGAAAGUUCCUCUGAUUGUAAUCCAAUUUGUAGUCUAUGUUUUGAUUGAUUCCAAUUUAAGUUGUCAAAUCCAGGAUUAAUUUUUUUUCUGGAGUUGUUCAAAUCCUUUUAUUUUACUUUACUUUACUUUUAUUUUAUUUUACUUUUGUUUAUUUAUUUAGUCAAUUUUUUUUUUUUUUUUGGUGAUUUGUGAAGAUCAAAUCCUUUUAGUUUAGCUUUUACUUAUCAAUAACGUCACAUUGUUCUUUCAAUUUUGCCGAGUAAAUUUUGGACUUCAGUUCAUUCCUUUGGCUUAAAGAUUUAAUGAAGAAAAUAGAUUAUAUAUAUAUAGAGUUUACAAUUGUAGAGUCAGAAUUGCAGCUUGAGAAGCAUUUCUUCUCAUCUGUCCAAAAAGAACUAGUAUAUGUAUCAUGUGAUAUCACAGUAGGGUUUCUUGUUUCUUGAAAUUCUACAAAAAGUGGUUCAUUUUGCAGAUGAAUGUCGAAAAUCAUUUGCACCAACGUGUGGUGAGGUGCACUUGAAAAAAGUCUAUUCCAGUUCAACUUUUGAUGCUGGCUAUGUACUGUCAAUCUCAAGGUAAUGUUGUAAAUUUGAAUAGUAGCCACAAGGGCGCUACUAUCUUGUAAAAUGUCUCUUCUAGUUUCAUAAAUAACACGUUUGCAUCCACCCAUCCACAACAUAGUUGAUAGUUCAAUGUUUCUUUUUCUCCGUUUUGAGAAAUUGAUGGAUAUCCGAUUGAUUAUAUGCACAAAAGCACCGAAGAGAAGUCUUGAAUGGGGUUAUCAAAUACACAUCCAUAAAAUUAGUAUUCGCUAAAUUAAUAAAUUUUCCACGGUCUAAAUGCGAUUGGUUUAUUGAGAAUUGACUGUACUAUAUAUUCAAUGAAACAUAACCUAAACUUCCAAAGGGCCACCUAUUCUAAUGAAACCUUAAUUUUGAUAGAAACAAAAAUUACCUAUCUUGCAAACAAGAUUUUAUAUUUAUAUAUAUCUUCACUAUCACAUGCAAGAUAAACGGUCAGCUGGUUAUCUUGAGAUUUCAGAAAGGGAAAGCAUCUUUCUUCUUCCCUCCCAAUUCGUCUCUUCAUAAUUUUUUUUGGUUCUGGAGUUAUGCUCAAUACAGAAAAUAUUUUCACCCACUAGUCUCUUAAGUCAAUAGCACCAACACCAUCCACUAUUUAACUGCUGGUCUUCUUUUUGCUUUCAAUCUAAUUUACUGCAAACUUCUUGACAAUCGACUACAACUCUCUUAAAGUGGGGAUCAGAGUUCCUAGGUAAAUUCUUCAAGAGAGUUCAAAUCUCUGAGACAAGCUUUUAAGCCAUAUCAUUGAACUCCCUUCUCUGUUGCUUUACCAGCUCACAUUAUCUUGCCCCCCAUCAUCAAUCUGUUCUUUAUUAAAUGAACUGAGCGGUGCAGACUAACAAAAUUCACUUCAAAAGCUAACACAAUCACAGCAAACCUUAAUCUCCAACUAUGUCAACAUCAGAUUGGAGGCCAAAUCCACAACUUUAAAGAGAAACCGUAACCGCUGCCCAAGGGAAAAAAAAAAGUCUAACAUUCUACUUAAAGAAGCUAAUUUAUCUACUCUCUUAAGAAGAAAUAUCAGUACUUAAUCCUACAAUGGACAUCAAUGAUAUAAGAAAACACAUAAUUGGAAAAGCAGAAGGCAUGUGGCGAGGACAGGACCUGCAAUUAGCACCAGCACAUAGCAUCAUAGAUAGUAGAUACAAAGAAGUAAAAAGUCUCAUCCUUGAAUAAUGGAUGAUUGCUGCAUGAAGAGCCAGAACUUUAGUCCAAUGGAAGUAUGGAACAUAUUAAAAAGGGGCAUAUAAAAUUCAAUGAGAUGGCGAAUUGAGCCGGUUCAACAUGCAGCAUUGUAAUGGACACAGAAAUGAGAAACAAUCUAGAACCAAUUAAUUCUUAAACAGGGAGAGUUUUGAAGGUUGACUGUUUCCAUCGCUCCCUAACAAAAACAGAUGUUAAGAUUUUAUCCUUUCCACACAUUCUCGCACCAACCAAAUGGAGCAUGAAGUCCUUAAAGCUUAAAAAGAGAAGAGCUUUGAAGUUUGAAGUGAUAAAUUAAAUGCUUUCUACCAAAUUCAGUACCAAUCCUGUGGAUCAGUCAGUAGCCACAAAACACCGAGCUCCUCAAGAAAAAGAAUGAAUAAAUAAACAAAAAAUGAAAAUAAAAAAAGAACCUCAUUGACGACAGAGAAAUUUUUUUCCAAAUUCAUACGAACCAAUAACAAGGAAAGAUAACAAUUUUCUUCCGUUGAGUUCAUUUAUACAAUCAAGUACAAGUUAAGAUACGAAUACAAAAGGGAGAAGAGAGAAAAGCAUUACAAAGAUAAGCUCCCCCGUUUGGGUAAAGUACUCAAAAGAAGGAUAAAUUUAACCAAGUCAUCUAACCUGGCACAAGAAGAAGAAGAGUGAUGAAUCAAGAACCACAAGUGAAGACCUGGUGAGGCAGCCUCCAAGCUUCAGAUUCGCUGAAGCACAUGUCAUCAAGAGCUUCACUACGGCACCAUUUGCACUUGGGGUUCAGCGAACACUCAGAUCUUGACCCCAUUUCGUUGCAGCGUGGGAUCCGGUUGCUGCUCCUUUGAACUGCCAAUAGGCUUCGAUACGACGAAGAAGAGUCGGCAGCUGAUAAUGAUGAAAAUUGGUAAAGCGUUGAUAGCACGACGACGAAGAUUAGUACCGUAAAUCUAUAGCUCGUUGCCAUGAGACCCAAGUGGGCGAGUCGGUGCGCAAAGUGAGUACUCAGCACCCAGCUACC
rnacentral:lncRNA from 1 species